UGCAUGGCUGUCGUCAGCUCGUGUCGUGAGAUGUUGGGUUAAGUCCCGGCAACGAGCGCAACCCUCGACUUUAGUUACCAUCAUUAAGUUGGGACUUUAAGUAACCGCCGGUGAUAAGCCGGAGGAAGUGGGGAUGACGUCAAGUCCUCAUGGCCCUUACGCGCUGGGCUACACACGUGCUACGAUGGCAAGUACAGUGGGCAGCAAUCCCGCGAGGGUGAGCUAAUCUCCAAAACUUGUCUCAGUUCGGAUUGUUCUCUGCAACUCGAGAGCAUGAAGGCGGAAUCGCUAGUAAUCGCGGAUCAGCAUGCCGCGGUGAAUACGUUCCCAGGCCUU
rnacentral:rRNA from 1 species